rnacentral:rRNA from 1 species
ACGCUGGCGGCAGGCUUAACACAUGCAAGUCGAACGAUGAUUACUAGCUUGCUAGUAUGAUUAGUGGCGAACGGGUGAGUAAUGCUUAGGAAUCUACCUAUUAGUGGGGGACAACAUUCCGAAAGGAAUGCUAAUACCGCAUACGUCCUAUGGGGGAAAGCAGGGGAUCGCAAGACCUUGUGCUAAUAGAUGAGCCUAAGUCGGAUUAGCUAGUUGGUGGGGUAAAGGCCUACCAAGGCGACGAUCUGUAGCUGGUCUGAGAGGAUGAUCAGCCACACUGGGACUGAGACACGGCCCAGACUCCUACGGGAGGCAGCAGUGGGGAAUAUUGGACAAUGGGCGAAAGCCUGAUCCAGCCAUGCCGCGUGUGUGAAGAAGGCCUUUUGGUUGUAAAGCACUUUAAGUGGGGAGGAAAAGUUGACGGUUAAUACCCGCCAGCCCUGACGUUACCCACAGAAUAAGCACCGGCUAACUCUGUGCCAGCAGCCGCGGUAAUACAGAGGGUGCAAGCGUUAAUCGGAAUUACUGGGCGUAAAGCGAGCGUAGGUGGUCAUUUAAGUCAGAUGUGAAAUCCCCGGGCUUAACCUGGGAACCGUAUCUGAUACUGGGUGACUAGAGUAGGUGAGAGGGAAGUAGAAUUCCAGGUGUAGCGGUGAAAUGCGUAGAGAUCUGGAGGAAUACCGAUGGCGAAGGCAGCUUCCUGGCAUCAUACUGACACUGAGGUUCGAAAGCGUGGGUAGCAAACAGGAUUAGAUACCCUGGUAGUCCACGCCGUAAACGAUGUCUACCAGUCGUUGGGUCUCUUGAAGACUUAUGACGCAGUUAACGCGAUAAGUAGACCGCCCUGGGGAGUACGGCCGCAAGGUUAAAACUCAAAUGAAUUGACGGGGGCCCGCACAAGCGGUGGA